AAAGUUUAUUAGAUGUUUGCUUAUAUAUUAUAUAAGAGGAAAGUCUGGACUCAUUAAUAAAAAGUGCAGGAUAAAUUCCUGCAGAGAAAACUCUAGGGAAAGUGUUUUAGAAAAAAUAAAUAUUCUUUGUUUAACAUUGAGUAUUUUUGAAAUGGUUUAUCCUAUUAUUUAAAUAAUUAAAUAAUAUAAAAACCCCACUUUGAGCAAGGUCAUUUGACUGCUGAAAACAUAUACGUAAGAUAUUGUUUUAGAUAAAUAAACAUCCAUAAAAAAUAAAUUUUUAUGACAGAAUCCAGCUUAUAGAUAAACUUU
rnacentral:RNase_P_RNA from 1 species